rnacentral:rRNA from 1 species
UACGUAGGGGGCAAGCGUUGUCCGGAUUUAUUGGGCGUAAAGAGCGUGUAGGCGGCCAGGUAGGUCUGCUGUGAAAACUCGAGGCUUAACCUCGAGAUGUCGGCGGAAACCAUCUGGCUAGAGUCCGGAAGAGGAGAAUGGAAUUCCCGGUGUAGCGGUGAAAUGCGCAGAUAUCGGGAAGAACACCCGUGGCGAAGGCGGCUCUCUGGUACGUGACUGACGCUGAGACGCGAAAGCGUGGGGAGCGAACAGG